AAAUUUACCUGGCGCCCGGUUCAGGGUGGUCAAAAAUGCUCUGACCUCGAGUGGAGGAUCAUCAAUGAUUGCACCUCGGUGGGUUGAAACUCGUGAUGAACUCUAAACGGGUGAGCUUGGGUGUGUAGUUUUUUUUGUGUGCAUCAGUGGCACU
rnacentral:snRNA from 15 species